rnacentral:sRNA from 1 species
GCUGGGUGUGGUGGUGCACACCUGUAAUCUCAGUGACUUGGAAUGCCUGAGGCAGGAGUAUCACAAGUUUGUGGCAAAUCUCAGCAAUUUAGUGAGGCUUUGAGCAACUUAGUGUGACCCUGUCUCAA